rnacentral:rRNA from 1 species
UUUGACUAGAACUCUUAAUAAUUUAAGUUCCCGAAGUGAAAAGAGCUAACUAGAUUGGGUGUGUCUAUUAGGAUAAGACUAUUAGUGUAGCAGAACUGAAAAGAAAAAAUCUAGUUAGGAGUGAAAGGCCUCUCAAUUUUCAUUGAUAACUGGAUUAAACUCAAAAAUAUUAAGUAUUAAUGAGACAAACUCAAAAAUCUAAGCUUUUGAGCUUGAUAAUAAAUUGGAUAAUUAAAAGAGGGUAACAACUUUAUUAAUAUAAUACUGAGAUAAGUAUAUAUAGAAAUUAUUCUCCGAUAGUUUUUAAGGACUUAAGUUUAUGUAGUUAAGUAAUAGUUGAAAUUAAUAUUAAUAAUGUUAAAAUGAGUAUAGAUACUUUAUAAUAAGCAAGGAACUCGGCAAACCUUUUCUUCAACUGUUUAUCAAAAACAUAGCUAGUAGGGAGAUAUUAUUAGUGCGCUCUGCCCGGUGAUAAUAGAUUUAACGGCCGCAGUACACUGACUGUGCAAAGGUAGCAUAAUCAAUUGUCUAUUAAUUGUAGUCGAGAAUGAAAGAGUAUAUGGGGAGUAGCUGUCUUGUUUAUUUUUAGUGGAACUUACUAAGCAAGUGCAAAUACUUGCUGAUUUUUACAAAAGACGAGAAGACCCUAUAAAUUUUUACUAAUAGAAGUUAAAUUUUUUCUAUCGUUUUUGUUGGGGCAACAAUUUAACAAAAAAGAUAAAUUUAAUUAAAGAACUCAAUAACAAUCUAACGAGUAAUACUAAAAAUAAUUAAAUUACUAUAGGGAUAACAGCAUAAUUUUAUCUUUAAGAUUGUGACCUCGAUGUUGGAUUAGGAACAUUUCAAAUUAACAAUUUGAGAAUGGGGUUCUGUUCGAACUUAAACACCU